CCAGAGAGAGAGAGCCGGGAGGAAUAAGCGAAGCAAGAGGUGGCGGGAUCCUGCGGGGCUGGAUUGGAGCCCCGGUGGUGCUACUGCUGCCGUUGGACGCCGGCCGAAGGGACAAGUCCCUACGUAAGGAAAUAACAUGUGUUGCAUCGGCACAUUUGAUGCAGAGUAGCUACUCGAGCGCAUGGUGGCAGAGUUCACAAGCUAGAUCUUUGACUGGCGUAAUGGCUUGUCCGGAUGCAGAGAAGGACGGGGUUCAAGUUGUUGGGCCGGUGGCAGGGGCAGCAUGAUGUUUUCGUCAGGUAACAACCUAGCCAUCGACUCAAGAUUUAACUGAACCAAUUCCUUUAAUUCAAGCUCCAAAUCGUUGUUAUUUGAUUCACUAAUUGGUUGCUGGCAACAACUAAUUGGACAUAUAAUUGUUGAUUUCUGUACAAACAAUAUCUUCAGUUGUUUUCAGAUCUUCAAUAAGGAUCAUCAAGCCCUCUGUUUUUUAUAUAAAGAAUAGAUAUUGUAAUUGUGCCUCCAUUACGUCUAAAAGUCAGGUAUCGGAAAAAUGUCAUUGGCAUAUCUCUGUCAUGAUGGAAGAUUGGUUAGACAGAAAAAGGACCUCUGGUUAUGUAUGACAUGAUGCGAGGCACAUAUCUCUGAAUGAAGCGCAACAAGAAUUGACAUCCUCUGAUGCUAACUGUUGACCAUUCUUCUCUGAAGUAUCAGAACAAAUUUAUGUUUCCAGCAAAAAAGUUGGCCGGCCCCAGCAAAAAAAAAAGAACAGUUCCAGCAAAAAAAGAUCGCCGCCGUGGUCACAUGUGUCAACAAGCAGUCUUCGGAAUCAUCAAUAAGCCAACAGCGAGAAAUAAGUUUAAGAAUUGAGUUCCCUUAACAGGGAAAUAAGGAAGGGAAGAAACAAAUAGGGAACAAUCAGAUGAAGCAUCAAGGAAAAUGGAUUGAACAAUCAGAUGAAGCAUCCAGCUCGAGGAGAAGCAUGGUCUGCAAGGAGACCAAUCAUCUUGAGGUGGUUCUUUCAGCUACUUCAUGUUCCAUUACGGAGAAGGGUACUUAGUCGAUCUUAGGAGCCAGACUCUGCUUUCCUUGCAGGGAGAAUUUCAAUAAAUGGUACUAUUACUCUCCCAACAAUUCUUUUAUCACUACAAAAUGUGUAGGAACCUUAUUUUUCCCUGAGAUACUGUAAUUGAGGAACCGAGAGCCGCGACGGAACAUUGUAUUUUGCACUACAUCCUGUAUUUGCUUUGUGGGAAGCUGGCUUGAGGACAAAUAUGUCAGCUCCAUUUUUGCUGUGAGUGAUUCUUCAUAUGACGGUAGUGUUGCUUGUGUUCAUAAUCAGUCUCUAUGUAAUGUUUCGGCAGAGAGAGUUGUAACGCCUCGGUCUUCUUGCCGAGUUGCAGAAUGCUGUUGUUCACUCUGCAAUAGGAUGGAUGAACAUGGUUUUCUUUAUUUUA